rnacentral:rRNA from 1 species
UACUCCCGCCGGCGACCGGCGCACGGGUGAGUAACACGUAUGAAACCUGCCCGUAGCAGGGGGAUAAGCGGAAGAAAUUCCGUCUAAUACCGCGUAACAACCCGAGGAGGCAUCUCCUCGGGGUUUUAAAAGGGAAGCGAUUCCGGCUACGGAUGGUCAUGCGUCGCAUUAGCUAGUUGGCGGGGUAACGGCCCACCAAGGCGACGAUGCGUAGGGGUUCUGAGAGGAAGGUCCCCCACACUGGUACUGAGACACGGACCAGACUCCUACGGGAGGCAGCAG